rnacentral:misc_RNA from 1 species
GGCUGAGUUACAGGAAUUCAAGGAAUUCAAGGCAAGGAGAAGGUCUUUUCAUCUGCACCCCGUAAAAUCGGGGUUGGGGCGUAGUCAGGUAAAAUUGAUUGGGUUUGGAGACUUUUGCAAUCAAUAGUUGCAACACAAACUCUCGGGUCAGAUAUAAUAAAUAGGGAACACCAUGUACUUAUGGCUUAAGAAGCAAUACCUACAAAAGUUAGCAUUAACCAAACACCCCAGACGGUUAUAAGAUGGUUAUAAAAUACCGUAUUGCAUAGUCUUUCAAUGUAUAAAAGAUAUAAUAAAUAAUCCAAUUACUUUAAUCAUUCUGGACUACAACACGUGCACUUUACAAAGGAAAAAAGAUCAUGAAGAGUAACAAAAUCAUUCAAAUGGUUUUUUCAUAUUUUCCACAUGUCUGUCUAUAUUUUGUAAUUUCCUUCCUUGAUUCUCUAUUUAAUAAUACAGAUCUUUCUCAACAUAGUUUAAAUUUCGCAUUUUGUGUGGUCUAAUUUUAUCAUCUUACAACAUUUAUAAUCAGUAGAUCAACUUACAACUUUCAGUAUCUUCAGUACAG